rnacentral:rRNA from 1 species
CAGUCGCCGCGGGAAUACGUAGGGUGCAAGCGUUAAUCGGAAUUACUGGGCGUAAAGCGUGCGCAGGCGGUUUUGUAAGACAGAGGUGAAAUCCCCGGGCUCAACCUGGGAACUGCCUUUGUGACUGCAAGGCUUGAGUGCGGCAGAGGGGGAUGGAAUUUCGCGUGUAGCAGUGAAAUGCGUAGAUAUGCGGAGGAACACCGAUGGCGAAGGCAAUCCCCUGGGCCUGCACUGACGCUCAUGCACGAAAGCGUGGGGAGCAAACAGGAUUAGAUACCCGCGUAGUCCCUGUCUCUUAUAA